AUUACUUCUCAGCCUUUUGGCUAAGAUCAAGUGUAGUAUCAUAUAACACAUAAGUAUGUUUUUAUAGCCAUGUUAAAAAUUAU
ensembl:snRNA U2 U2 spliceosomal RNA